rnacentral:rRNA from 1 species
AGAAUAAAAAUUAAUUUAAUAAAUAUAAUUUUUUAAAAUUAUAAUCUUAAGAAAAGUAUUUUUAUUUAUAAAUUUAUUUUAGUUAAAAUUAAAAAAAAUAAUAAUUUAAUAGUUAAAUUGUACAGUAAUGGAAUAUUGAAUAAAAUUGAAAUUGGAUAUAUUUAUUAAAAAGUAAAUUUAAAUUAUUGUAUCUUGGGUAUCAGAGUUUAUUAAAUAAAAUUUAAAUAUUUAAAUUUCUCGAAAAAAAAAGAUAUAUUUAAGUAAAAUUGUUAAUGUAAUAAUAUUAUAUUAUAUGCUUAAAUAGAGGUUAAAAGUUAUUCGGGUUUUUAUAUCUAGUUUUUAAAGAAAUUAAUUUAAUUAAAWUAAUAAUWUAUAUAUAUAUAUAUAUAUAUAUAUAUAUAUAUAUAUAUAUAUAAUUAUAAAUAAUAUAUUAAGGGAUAAGCUUUAAUAUAAAUUUUUAUAUUUAUAAAAAUUUAUUAAUAAAUUUUAUAUAAUUAAUAUUUUUAAUUAAUUUAAAUUUUUUAUAAAUAUAUUUUAAUAUAAUAAAUUUUUUAUUUAAAAUUAAUUAAUUUAUUUAAAAAAUAAUUUUUAUUAUAAAAAUUAUGUUAUAAUGAUAAAAUUAGUAUAAUAGAAAAAAAAAUAAUAUAAAAAUAUAUUUUUAAGAUAUAUAAAUUAAAGGAAUUCGGCAAAAUUAUAUUUACCUGUUUAACAAAAACAUGUCUUAAAGAUUUUAAUUUUAAGUCUAAUCUGCCCCCUGAAUUAUAUUUAAAGGGCCGCAGUAUUCUGACUGUGCUAAGGUAGCAUAAUAAUUAGUUUUUUAAUUGAAAACUAGAAUGAAUGAUUGGAUAAAAUAUAAACUGUCUUUAAUUUAUUUAUUUAUAAUUUAAUUUUUAAGUGAAAAAGCUUAAAUAAAUUUAAAAGACGAGAAGACCCUAUAGAUCUUUAUAUUUAAAAUUUAAUUUAAAUAAUUUAUUUAUAAUUUAAUUAAAUUAUAAUAUUAAAUUGGGGUGAUUUAAAAAUUUAUAAAAUUUUUUAAUAAUUUUAACCAAUAAUUUUUGAUUAAUUAAUCUAUUAAUAAUAAAUAUAUAAUAAGUUACCUUAGGGAUAACAGCGUAAUUUCAAUUUUAAGUUCUUAUUAAAAUUGAAGAUUGUGACCUCGAUGUUGGAUUAAGAUUAAAUAUAAAUGUAGAAGUUUAUAAUUUGAGUCUGUUCGACUUUUAAAAUCUUACAUGAUCUGAGUUCAGACCGGCGUGAGCCAGGUUGGUUUCUAUCUUUAAUUAAUAAAAUAUUUUAGUACGAAAGGAUUUUUUAUUUAUAUAUUAAUUUAUAUAUUAUAUAUUAAUGAAUAAAAUUAAUUUAU